rnacentral:rRNA from 1 species
UACGUAGGGUGCAAGCGUUGUCCGGAAUUAUUGGGCGUAAAGAGCGUGUAGGCGGCCCCGUUAGUCCGCUGUGAAAGUCCAGGGCUCAACCCUGGAAUGCCGGUGGAUACUGCGGGGCUAGAGUCCGGAAGGGGAGAGUGGAAUUCCUGGUGUAGCGGUGAAAUGCGCAGAUAUCAGGAAGAACACCCGUGGCUAAGGCGGCUCUCUAGUACGGUACUGACGCUGAGACGCGAAAGCGUGGGGAGCGAACAGG